GGCGGGGUAGCUCAGCGGUAGAGCAGGGGAUUCAUAAGCCCUUGGUCGCAGGUUCGAUUCCUGCCCUCGCCACCA
rnacentral:tRNA from 1 species